rnacentral:rRNA from 1 species
UCCCCUAGUAACUGCGAGUGAAGCGGGAAGAGCUCAAAUUUAAAAUCUGGCGGUCUUUGGCCGUCCGAGUUGUAGUCUGGAGAAGUGCUUUCCGCGCUGGACCGUGUAUAAGUCUCUUGGAACAGAGCGUCAUAGAGGGUGAGAAUCCCGUCUUUGACACGGACUACCAGUGCUUUGUGAUGCGCUCUCAAAGAGUCGAGUUGUUUGGGAAUGCAGCUCAAAAUGGGUGGUGAAUUCCAUCUAAAGCUAAAUAUUGGCGAGAGACCGAUAGCGAACAAGUACCGUGAGGGAAAGAUGAAAAGCACUUUGGAAAGAGAGUUAAACAGUACGUGAAAUUGCUGAAAGGGAAACGCUUGAAGUCAGUCGCGUCGUCCGGAACUCAGCCUUGCUUUUGCUUGGUGCACUUUCCGGAUGACGGGUCAGCAUCGAUUUUGACCGUCGGAAAAGGGCUGGAGUAAUGUGGCACCUCCGGGUGUGUUAUAGACUCUAGUCGCAUACGGCGGUUGGGAUCGAGGAACGCAGCGCGCCGCAAGGCAGGGGUUCGCCCACUUUCGCGCUUAGGAUGCUGGCAUAAUGGCUUUAAACGACCCGUCUUGAAACACGGACCAAGGAGUCUAACAUACCUGCGAGUGUUUGGGUGGAAAACCCGAGCGCGUAAUGAAAGUGAAAGUUGAGAUCCCUGUCGUGGGGAGCAUCGACGCCCGGACCAGACGUUCUCUGACGGAUCCGCGGUAGAGCAUGUAUGUUGGGACCCGAAAGAUGGUGAACUAUGCCUGAAUAGGGUGAAGCCAGAGGAAACUCUGGUGGAGGCUCGUAGCGAUUCUGACGUGCAAAUCGAUCGUCAAAUUU